CAUCCAAAUUAAAUAAUUUUGUGUUUUUAAGCGGAAACCAUGCAUUUUCUGACGGUUAGUUUAAAAUUCAUCUUGCGUAUGAAUAAAAAGAUUUUAUAAUAUUUAGAGUACAAAUAUAUGCCGUGACAUGCCAGCUAGGAACAUAUACGCUGGGAUGAUCGCAAGUGACCGUAAGCUCGAGCUUUUUCAAGCUAAACGAAUGCAACACGCGAGCGCCAUUUCGCCGCUGACGCAAGAUGAAUUUUGUAAACUAAUUGACAGUCUUUGAAUCACAAUUGUUUCCGUGUGGGGAACCGAAACGUCAGACAAAAUAAUCCUAUUAAUUAAAUUAAUGUAUAAAACAAUCUGGAUGAAAUAAAAACAAUUUAAAAAAUACUUUCAAUUAACUUUUCCAGCAAUUAAAACUCCAAGUUAUAACAAAAAUUUUCAGCUUUUGUGAAACAUUUUUUCUUGUUUUGGCGUAUAUCGUAACAUUCUGCGAAACACGUGAUAUGAUCAGUACAGUAUUGGAAAUGAAGAUGCUCUGAGAAUGACGUACACGUCACACUGUUCGUUUAAUCAGAAACGCACUGACCGGUUUGUAACCGGUGGAUAAUUCGUCGUCAGUUUUCAAGUAUACAUGCUUAAAUCGAGGCAAGACGACCAUUUGUUUACAAUGUAAUACGAUGAAAUUACAGAAGAUCAAUUCCGGAUUUUGAUCGUAAAAUCCAUCAAACGGAAGAUUGGAAAAGAACUGCAUGCAGUUGGCGGUUACGUGGUAAAGAUAACUAUAAGAUUCCGACAUAUAAACUAUGCAAGAGCCUCAAUAUACCAACAGUGAUGUGGAUAUUGGUUUUUGAAGAACAUUCAGGCAUGUUCAAUGCAUUACAGAUUAUGCCGUAUCACUGAACAUCGGAAAGAAUGUAACAGAUAUACAUGGUCAAUGGGGACUGAUGAAGUAGAUCAACAGGAAAUAUGGUACAGAGUAUAAGUACUGUAAGUGAAUAAACUCCAUAUUUGGACAAUUACUAAUCAUAAUUCAUGUCAAACAAUACUCGCAUCGAGAUGAAAAAAUCUGGACAAAAAACGCUAUAUACAACGAACAUUAUAAAGCAUACCAACAAAUAAAAAAGGAAAAUUCUCAUAAAUACAGAACUAAGAUGGUGAAUAUCAGUUUUGAUGCUUAAAGGUUGCAACAUUGGCAAUGCAUGUCAAUAUUAAUACUGGUAUGUGAGAAAACACAGAUUCCUCGCCAUGGUAUGCUGCUAUUAAUGCAAUAACAACGAACUUGUCGAGUGGCGCGUAUAUCUUUCGUUUGUUCUUUUGAAAGUAAAACACUGAAAAAAAAAAGAAUGGAAAUUGGCAAAUAUACUGAUCACGAAAUCAACUGUUGUACAGUGUUAUGGUAUAUUUUUAAAACCGACAAUGCAUGUUGUCAAUGAAAUUUGGCCUUCCUUCAAUUUUUGUGUUUUUCACUGCUUGGCAGUUUCUGCUGGGAAGGUCUAAUAAUGUAGGUUUUGUUUAGAAAUCGGAUACGAUUUCUUACAAAUUCAGUUUUGAAUAAAUUAGCCUUUCUCACGAUGACGAAUAUCCGCCAUUUUUGGGUGGCAUCUAAGUAAUUCUCGUUAACCAAUGCAGACAAUUAAAACAGUGUGAAAAGCAAUUUUUCAAAAUAAACUAACCAUUUACAAAGCAAAUUUCCCAUCAUUCGUCCAAAAAAUUAUAAAAAGUCGCUGUUAUGUGGACUUAUCUCGCAGACUUCGGCUGAAAUGCCACCCAAAAAUGGCGGCGUGAGAAAGGCUAAUUGAUGCCCAAAUCUCCGCGGCUGCGCAAGUUAAAACAAUUUUACACUAGGAAUGUGAUGGUAAAUGUCAAUAAGAUGAAAUGACAGUUUUAUUAUUUAUCCGUGGUUACGCAUCAAAAUCGCUGCAAAGUAAAGUAUAUAUUGAAAGACAAAAAAUUAUAAAAAAAUGCAGUAAAAGUUC